UCCACGCCCUAAACGAUGUUCACUAGUCGUCGGGAUGCUAGUCAUCUCGGUGAUGCACUUAACAGAUUAAGUGAACCGCCUGGGGAGUACGGUCGCAAGAUUAAAACUCAAAGGAAUAGACGGGGACCCGCACAAGUGGUGGAGCAUGUGGUUUAAUUCGAAGAUACGCGAAGAACCUUACCUAGCCUUGACAUUGAAGAAACACACUAGAGAUAGAGUGGUGCCCUUCGGGG
rnacentral:rRNA from 1 species